AUGUGGGAUCCCAGGGAAUGCCCAGAUUCCAGGGAAUGCCAGAUCCCAGGGAAUGUGGGAUCCCAGGGAAUGCGGGAUCCCAGGGGAUGCCAGAUUCCAGGGAAUGUGGGAUCCCAGGGAAUGCCAGAUCCCAGGGAAUGUGGGAUCCCAGGGAAUGCCGGAUCCCAGGGAAUGCCGGAUCCCAGAGAACGCCCAGAUUCCAGGGAAUGCCGGAUUCCAGGGAAUGUGGGAUCCCAGGGAAUGCCAGAUUCCAGGGAAUUCCUGGAUCCCAGGGAAUGCGGGAUCCCAGGGAAUGCUGGAUCCCAGAGAACGCCUGGAUCCCAGGGAAUGCCGGAUCCCAGGGAACGCCGGAUUCCAGGGAACUCCCAGAUUCCAGGGAACACCAGAUUCCAGGGAAUGCCAGAUUCCAGGGAACACCCAGAUUCCAGGGAAUGCCGUAUUCCCAAGGGGGGUUGUGCUUGUGCUGUUGGGGUGGGGGAGCCACGGAGAGGGGAUCCCAUGGGAAGAGCCAGCGGAUCUCCGGGUGAAAAUCUGGGAUUGGAGCUGAUCCGGGUCCCAAAGAUCUCCGGGAGUUUGAAGGUGGAAAUGAACAAAGAAAUCCCAAACUGGAAUGAAUCCCAAGAAGUUCUGGGGAUCGGAGCCAUGGCCAAGGGUCCUCCUCCAAUGCACAAUUUAAGGAAUAUCACGAAUUCCCUGUGGAUUCUCCAUGGAAUUGCAGCCUCUAGUGGGGAUUCCUGGGAUCCACCUGUGCUAAGGAACAGCAGAAGGUGAUGGAAGGACAGGAGGGCACAACCUUGGAAUGCUCCAUCCCAAACUUCCAGCGGCAUCCAUGGGGAAAAAAAUCCCACGGGAAGAGCCAAUGGAUCCCCACAGGAAAAUCUGGGAUCAAAGCUGAUCUUGGUCCCAAAGAUCUUUGGGAGAUUGAAGGUGGAAAAUGAACAAAAAGAUCCCAAACUGGAAUGAAUUCCAUGAAGUUUUGGGCACUGCCGGCACGGUCAAGGACCCUCUUCCAAUGCACAACGGAAUUUAAGGAAUGCCAGGAAUGUCCCUAUGGAUUCUCCAUGGAUUUCCAGCCCCUGGGGAUUCCUGGAAGCUCCACCUGUCUAAGGCCACCAGAUGGAAGGACAAGAGGUGGAACAGGAGGAACAACCUUGGAAUGCCCAUCCUGCACUUCCAGAGUGCAGAAAUCGGCCACAUUCCAACCCCACCAUCAGCAUCAAUUCCCAAAAAACCCAACCAAGAGGAAUUCCGGCCUCUGUAAGGCACCAACACCAUCCUGGAGCAGCACCCAAGGAGGAUCUCCGGGUUUUCCAACUGGGAAAAAGAUGGAAGGAACACGUCAGGGGAGGAUGGGGCAGAUUUUUGGGAAGGAAUCCCAGGUUUGGGGUGGGUUUGUGUCUGCCGGGUUUCCAUGGGCAUGGAAAAAAUUCCCCUCUGCUACCUUUGGUAUUGGGAUUUCUCCUCUGCCAUGCUUUGGAUGGGUGGGAUUGCCCGGAGCGCGCGGAUUAAAGCCGGGAAAAGGUCGCUCCGAGAGCGGUGAGAAAUGAAGGGAAACCCUCAAAAAAUGAAAGCAAUGAAAAGAUGGAGAUGGGCGUUGUCCUUGUGCCCGGGAUUUUGGGAUUGGGAUCAGCUCCACCAUGGAAUGGGAGCAGUGGGAAUUCCCAAAGUCCAUCCUCGAUUUCAGGGUCAGGCAGCCGGUGGGAUCAUGGAAUCAUGGAAUGGUUGGGUGGGAAGGACCUUAAAGCUCAUCCCAUUCCAUAGGAACCUUCCA
rnacentral:lncRNA from 1 species